GCCCCUCCCAGCCACGCGGGCUCUGUCAGGAACAUGUCAGGAAGCUCUGGAUGGGCAAACAAGGCCAGCUUUGGAAUGAGCACAAUCUCUUUUCUCUGUUGGCAUCUCUAUUCAGGUGGCAUUCUCCUCCGUGACUUGUCCGGGGAGGGGCGCUGUGCAAUAUGUCGUUUCAAUGUUUGAAAAUGAGAAAAGCCAAAUCACGUAAAUUUCCUAUCUUCUCUUCCAUUUAAGCUGCUCCUAUUGGGGAAAAAAACUCUACAUACCUCCGGCGGAAGGGGAAAUGCCUUUUUUAAAAAACCAUGUGCCUACAUUGCACCUUGCAAAUACUCCCACGAAGUAACUCAAGUGCCUGGUCACUUACUUGUAUCGUCUCGUCAGCUUUGUGAGAUCGAACUUACUAUUAAAAAGAUAGGACCAUUUUUAACAACAUAUUUGAAUUGGAUGUCUGCUUACAGCUCUCCAGGAAUAAAGGUACAAUGCAGUAGUUAAAGUUGGAGAAAACCUUAGUGAUCAUCUACCAAGCCGCUUACUUUACAGAUGAGAGAUAGUUAAAUCACUUGCCUGAUAUCUCGUUGUUAGUAGGAGCCAGGGUUGGAACCCAAGGCUUUAAAAAUUCCCUUCUCCAGCUUUUCCAUAACACUUAGCUGCUUGACUGCUCUCUGUAGAUAUUUCACUGUCAUAGAACCUCAUAUAUAUUCACUUUAGGUUAAGGAUCCGGUGUUGCCGUGAGCUGUGGUUGUAGGUCACAGACGCGGUUCGGAUCCCGUGUUGCUGUGGCUGUGGCAUAGGCUGGCAGCUACAGCUCUGAUUCGACUCCUAGCCUGGGAACUUCCAUAUGCUGUGGGAGCGGCCCUAGAAAUGGCAAAAAGACAAAAAAAAAAAAAAAAAAAAAAAAAAAAAAAAGCUCCCCCUAUGCAUAUCUAAAAGCCACUGCUUAUUGUUUUACUUUAAAUGUGAAGACUUCAAUGUAAUCAAGAUUCUCAUUCAAAUUAAGAAGGGAAUGUCAUAUUUCUUCUGAGGAUAUAAACAUUUGACAACACAAGACUAAAGGAUCUCAUUUUUUUUUCCCAGAAAUAAAAUUACAGGAUCGUAGGUAUAAAGAGUUAUA
rnacentral:lncRNA from 1 species